rnacentral:rRNA from 1 species
GAUGAACGCUGGCGGCGUGCCUAAUACAUGCAAGUCGAGCGAACAGAUAAGGAGCUUGCUCCUUUGACGUUAGCGGCGGACGGGUGAGUAACACGUGGAUAACCUACCUAUAAGACUGGGAUAACUUCGGGAAACCGGAGCUAAUACCGGAUAACAUAUUGAACCGCAUGGUUCAAUAGUGAAAGGCGGCUUUGCUGUCACUUAUAGAUGGAUCCGCGCCGUAUUAGCUAGUUGGUAAGGUAACGGCUUACCAAGGCAACGAUACGUAGCCGACCUGAGAGAGUGAUAGCCCACACGGGAACUGAGACACGGUCCAGAGUCCUACGGCAGGCAGCAGUAGGGAACGUUACGCAGCGGUCGAAAGCCUGACGGAGCAACCCCGAGCGAGUUAUGACGACCUUCGGAUCGUAAAACCCUGUUAUCAGGGAAGAACCACUGUGUACGUAACUGUGCACAUCUUGACGGUACCUGAUCAGAAAGCCACGGCUAACUACGUG